rnacentral:rRNA from 1 species
CCUACGGGGGGCAGCAGUGGGGAAUAUUGCACAAUGGGCGCAAGCCUGAUGCAGCCAUGCCGCGUGUGUGAAGAAGGCCUUCGGGUUGUAAAGCACUUUCAGCGGGGAGGAAGGCGUUAAGGUUAAUAACCUUGUCGAUUGACGUUACCCGCAGAAGAAGCACCGGCUAACUCCGUGCCAGCAGCCGCGGUAAUACGGAGGGUGCAAGCGUUAAUCGGAAUUACUGGGCGUAAAGCGCACGCAGGCGGUCUGUCAAGUCGGAUGUGAAAUCCCCGGGCUCAACCUGGGAACUGCAUUCGAAACUGGCAGGCUAGAGUCUUGUAGAGGGGGGUAGAAUUCCAGGUGUGGCGGUGAAAUGCGUAGAGAUCUGGAGGAAUACCGGUGGCGAAGGCGGCCCCCUGGACAAAGACUGACGCUCAGGUGCGAAAGCGUGGGGAGCAAACAGGAUUAGAUACCCCUGUAGUC